CCUACGGGUGGCAGCAGUGGGGAAUAUUGCGCAAUGGGCGAAAGCCUGACGCAGCGACGCCGCGUGAGGGAUGAAGGUCUUCGGAUCGUAAACCUCUGUCAGCAGGGAAGAACGGUCACUGUGCUAAUCAGCAGUGAAUUGACGGUACCUGCAAAGGAAGCACCGGCUAACUCCGUGCCAGCAGCCCCGGUAAGACGGAGGGUGCGCGCGUUAAUCGGAAGUACUGGGCGUAAAGCGCUCGUAGGCGGGCUGUCAAGUCAAGGGUGAAAUCCCCGCGCUCAACGUGGGAACUGCCUUUGAGACUGGCAGACUGGAGUGUGUGAGAGGAUAGUGGAAUUCCAGGUGUAGGAGUGAAAUGCGUAGAUAUCUGGAGGAACAUCAGUGGCGAAGGCGACUAUCUGGCACAUAACUGACGCUGAGGAGCGAAAGCGUUGGGAGCAAACAGGAUUAGAUACCCGAGUAGUC
rnacentral:rRNA from 1 species